rnacentral:lncRNA from 1 species
AAAUUUUGAUUUUUUUUUUUUGAAUUUUAAAGGUAAAAUAUCCCAACUAUGUUUACUUAAUGUAGAAACUCCUAAACUAAAGAUUUACCAGUCGUAAUGGUAAUUAUGACAUGUUAGAGUUUAAUUCAUUAAAUAAAGUUAGUUUGAAGUUUUUUCGUUAAAUACUUAGUUUGAGAGUUUUUACCCAAAACAAACUUAGUUGAAGGGUUUAACAAUAAAAAUCCUUUCUUUUUCUCUGAUC